rfam:Bombyx mori DNA, contig: Bm_scaf5_contig4460, strain: p50T/Dazao, build 2, whole genome shotgun sequence.
UUAACUCAAAUUUGUAUGGAGUCGGAACGUUUGCCUAAAUUUGCCACUAAAGGCGCUGUUCCAACUGCAUACAAAAUUGGGCUA